rnacentral:rRNA from 1 species
AUAAGCACUUGUACUGUGAAACUGCGAAUGGCUCAUUAAAUCAGUUAUCGUUUAUUUGAUUGUACCUUACUACAUGGAUACCUGUGGUAAUUCUAGAGCUAAUACAUGCGAAAGAUCCCGACUUUACGGAAGGGAUGUAUUUAUUAGACUAAAAACCAAUGCGGGCUUCGGUCCGCUUGCUUGGUGAUUCAUGAUAACUUUUCGAAUCGCAUGGCCUUGCGCCGGCGAUGUUUCAUUCAAAUUUCUGCCCUAUCAACUGUCGAUGGUAAGGUAGUGGCUUACCAUGGUUGCAACGGGUGACGGAGAAUUAGGGUUCGAUUCCGGAGAGGGAGCCUGAGAAACGGCUACCACAUCUAAGGAAGGCAGCAGGCACGAAAAUUACCCAAUCCCGAUUCGGGGAGGUAGUGACAAGAAAUAACGGUACGGGCCUUCAUAGGUCUCGCAAUCGGAAUGAGAACAAUUUAAAUCCUUUAACGAGGAUCAAUUGGAGGGCAAGUCUGGUGCCAGCAGCCGCGGUAAUUCCAGCUCCAAUAGCGUAUAUUAGAGUUGUUGCAGUUAAAAAGCUCGUAGUUGGAUUUCGGAGCGGGCCCGUCGGUCCACCGCAAGGUGAGCUACUGGCGGGUCUGUUCUUCUUCGCAAAGACUGCAGGUGCACUUCGCUGUGUGCUUGUCGGAUUUGUGACGUUUACUUUGAAAAAAUUAGAGUGUUCAAAGCAGGCUUUCGCUUGAAUACAUGAGCAUGGAAUAAUGGAAUAGGACUUUGGUUCUAUUUUGUUGGUUUCUAGGACCGAAGUAAUGAUUAAGAGGGACAAACGGGGGCAUCUGUAUUUCGUUGUCAGAGGUGAAAUUCUUGGAUUUGCGAAAGACAAACAACUGCGAAAGCACUUGCCAAGAGUGUUUUCAUUAAUCAAGAACGAAAGUUAGAGGAUCGAAGACGAUCAGAUACCGUCCUAGUUCUAACCAUAAACGAUGUCGACUAGGGAUCGGCGGGCGUUAUUAUAUGACCCCGUCGGCACCUUACGGGAAACCAAAGUUUUUGGAUUCCGGGGGUA